GACGAACGCUGGCGGCGUGCUUAACACAUGCAAGUCGAACGGAAAGGCCCUGCUUUUGUGGGGUGCUCGAGUGGCGAACGGGUGAGUAACACGUGAGUAAACUGUCCUUGACUUUGUGAUAAAUUCAGGAAACUGGGGCUAAUAUCGGAUAGGAGAUCCUGCUGCAUGGGGGGGGAUGGAGAGUUUCGGCGGUUGGGGCUGGACUCGCGGCUUCUCAGCUGGUUGGUGGGGUAGUGGCUUACACAGGUUUUGACGGGUAGCCGGCCUGGGAAGGUGGACGGGCCCAAUGGGCCUGCGGUACGCACCAGUAUCCUACCGGAGGCAACAGUGGGGAAUAUUGCACAAUGGGCGGAAGCCAGAUGCAGCAACGCCGCGUGCGGGAUGACGGCCUUCGGGUUGUAAACCGCUUUCGCCUGUGACGAAGCGUGAGUGACGGUAAUGGGUAAAGAAGCACCGGCUAACUACGUG
rnacentral:rRNA from 1 species